UACGUAGGGGGCGAGCGUUGUCCGGAUUUAUUGGGCGUAAAGAGCGUGUAGGCGGUCAGGUAGGUCCGUUGUGAAAACUCGAGGCUCAACCUCGAGACGCCGAUGGAAACCAUCUGACUAGAGUCCGGAAGAGGAGAGUGGAAUUCCUGGUGUAGCGGUGAAAUGCGCAGAUAUCAGGAAGAACACCCGUGGCUAAGGCGGCUCUCUAGUACGGUACUGACGCUGAGACGCGAAAGCGUGGGGAGCAAACAGG
rnacentral:rRNA from 1 species